AAAAGCUUGCUUUUUUGCUGACGACCGGCGCACGGGUGCGGAACGCGUAUGGAACCUGCCCCUGUCAGGGGAAUAGCCCAGGGAAACUUGGAUUAAUGCCCCAUAGUAUCGGGAUAUCGCAUGAUAUUCUGAUUAAAGAUUUAUCGGACAGGGAUGGCCAUGCGUACCAUUAGUUAGAUGGUGAGGUAACGGCUCACCAUGGCAGCGAUGGUUAGGGGCCCUGAGAGGGGGAUCCCCCACACUGGUACUGAGACACGGACCAGACUCCUACGGGAGGCAGCAGUGAGGAAUAUUGGACAAUGGGCGGGAGCCUGAUCCAGCCAUGCCGCGUGCAGGAUGACGGCCCUAUGGGUUGUAAACUGCUUUUAUACGGGAAGAAACGCACCUACGUGUAGGUGUCUGACGGUACCGUAAGAAUAAGGACCGGCUAACUCCGUGCCAGCAGCCGCGGUAAUACGGAGGGUCCGAGCGUUAUCCGGAAUCAUUGGGUUUAAAGGGUCCGUAGGCGGGCCUGUAAGUCAGGGGUGAAAGUUUGUGGCUCAACCAUAAAAUUGCCUUUGAUACUGCAGGUCUUGAGUCAUGGUGGGGUUGCCGGAACAUGUGGUGUAGCGGUGAAAUG
rnacentral:rRNA from 1 species